GAUGAAGAACGUAGCGAAAUGCGAUAAGUAAUGCGAAUUGCAGAAUUCAGUGAGUCAUCGAAUCUUUGAACGCACAUUGCGCCCGUCGGUAUUCCGGCGGGCAUGCCUGUUCGAGCGUCAUAUCAAACCCUCAAGCCCCAGGCUUGGUGUUGGGCCCGCCUCGCCGCCCCGUGGCGUGGGGCCUCAAAGGUUGCAUUCGGCGGCAGGACAACCCCCCCCCCGAGCGCUGUGGAAAAUCUAAUCGCUCCGGGAAGGGUUGGAAACCUCGCCGGCCGUCAAAACGAACCCCCAUAACUUCAGGUUUGACCUCGGAUCAGGUAGGGAUACCCGCUGAACUUAAGCAUAUCAAUAAGCGGAGGA
rnacentral:misc_RNA from 1 species